rnacentral:rRNA from 1 species
CCUACGGGUGGCAGCAGUGGGGAAUAUUGCACAAUGGGGGCAACCCUGAUGCAGCGACGCCGCGUGAGUGAAGAAGUAAUUCGUUAUGUAAAGCUCUAUCAGCAGGGAAGAAAAUGACGGUACCUGAGUACGCAGCCACGGCUAACUACGUGCCAGCAACCGCGGUAAUACGUAGGGGGCAAGCGUUAUCCGGAUUUACUGGUGGUAAAGGGAGCGUAGACGGCAGUGCAAGUCAGGCGUGAAAGCCCGGGGCUCAACCCUGGGACUGCGUCGGAAACUGUCAAGCGGGAGUGCGGGAGGGGCAGGCGGAAGUCCGGGUGUAGCGGUGAAAUGCGUAGAGAUCAGGAGGAACACCGGAGGCGAAGGCGGAUCACUGGACGGUAACUGACGUUGAGGCGCGAAAGCGUGGGGAGCAAACAGGAUUAGAUACCCCAGUAGUC